rnacentral:tRNA from 1 species
GCCCGGGUGGUGGAAUGGCAGACACGAAGGUCUCAAAAACCUUUGCCUCGCAAGGGCUUGCGGGUUCGACCCCCGCCCCGGGCA